UCUUCUUCAACCUUCUUCCUCUUGCUCUGCCUCUUUGCCCUUUUCCUCUUUUUGAGCCGCUUCUCUGUUUUCACGUGAAAACUCUCUUUACCAAAAUGAAACUCUUUUCUUUAUUUCCAACUUAUAUAUUUUCCAAUAAUUAUUAUUCCAAUAAUAAUAAUAAUAAUAAUCCAAUAAUUCCAAAUUAUUUAAUUAAAUUAAUAAAUAUAAUAUUAACUUAAAUUAAAUAAUUAUCUUAUUUUUUUAUCGGGGUG
rnacentral:lncRNA from 1 species